rnacentral:lncRNA from 1 species
CCGAACCAUAAGCCAGAGCCUCUGCUGCACACACCACCAGCCCCUGAGGUGGGGAUGACAAACAUAACAGAGAACGGAAUGUUUCAGGUAUUCUGUUACAAGCAACAAGAAAUGGACUAAGAUGCCAUAUAUUUGGUCCUAUAUAUCAGUGAAACUACUGAUGUCAGCUAGUCCGAAAGACCCCACAAAGAACUGACUCACUAAAGAAUUCAGUCUCAACAUCCUGAUGGUUUCAUCGCCUUUACCCCAACCAAUCAGUUACCUCAAUUUUCCAGCCUCUUGCCCUCCAUGAUCCCCUUAAAACUUCAGCCCAAAAUUCCUCAGGGAGAUAGAUUUGAGGGUUUCUCCUAUCUCCUCACUCAGCUGCCUUGCAAUCCUUAAACUCUUUCUCUGCUGCAAACCCUGCUGUCUUGGCAUAUUGAUCUGUUGCUGCACAGUGGGCAAAUGAACCUGUUGGUCCUGUAACAGUAAUGCUGGCAUAAAAAAACCUACUGCACUGCCAGUCCUAUAAAAGCAUACAGUAAUGUCCCAGGCCUUCACAUUCACUCACCACUCACUGAUUCACCCAGAACAACUUCCAGUCCUGCAAGCUCCA